UGAGGAGGAGGAGGAAGGGGAGCCCUGCGACCCGCCGCCCCCGCCACACCACGAGUGGACCUACGAGGAGCAGUUCAAGCAGCUCUAUGAACUGGAUGAGGAUCCGAAGCGCAAGGAAUUCCUGGAUGACCUCUUCAGCUUCAUGCAGAAGAGAGGUAAAGGUGGGUGGUGUGGGUGGGUACUCUAGCUAAUGAGAGGCACUCGUGCACUGAGCAGCUGCAGACUCACGUGUGUCACUGUUACACAAGCUCAUCUCUGCCUGUACACCCUAUGUCUCCUGGAAUGCACCUUUAGACUUGCACACCACAUUUUAUACACACACAUUUACACAUGGGCACAUCCAUAGGUUCGUCCCCUUAUCCAACCCAUCUUGAGUUGCUUUCAGCCAGAGGGACCCCCAGAUUUGGGCUGGUGGUGAUGCCCAUUGCUGAUGCUCAACAACAACCAGCAGGAAUGUGCACCAGUGGUGCCAGUCAGUAGUGCCCUUGGGCAAUAUGUAUUAGAAAAAGCCAUUAAUUAUGGCCAUUAGUGAUGGCUGACGGGGAUGCCUACUGACAGUACCCAUUAGCAGUGCCCAUUGGCGAUGUCCAGUGGAGAUGCCCAAUAAUGAUGCCUGUUACCAUUGGUCCAUUGGUGAUACCCAGCAGAGAUGCCUAUUAGCAAGACCUGUUAGCAGUGCCCAUUAGCAAUCCCCAUUAGCAUUUGUGGGUCAUCAUGGCCAUACACGAGCACUGCCCCAGGGCUGUGGGAGCAGCACCGGGUGCCCAGGGGUUAAAGCCCUGCAGCCCACCCAGACCAUCGGAAAUCUUUGCUAUCGGCACAGGGACAAGCCAGCUCCUGGGGACUCAAUAAAUGCUUUAACCUUCGCCCUCACCAUCCAGGUCCGCAACAAUUAAAAGUUGCCGAAUGCGGGCGUGCGGCUAGCUGUAUUAAUUAGAGCCUUUUGCCAGUGUGUGGAUUAAUGAACAUGCCGCUCGAUAGCCAGUAAACCCCAGGCAGAGGUUAAUGCCGAGCUAAUUAACGGGGGAAGGCUGAAGGGGAGGUGGGGCGGGAAGGGCUUGGAUGUAGUAGUGUGCAGGGCAAAGAGGGGCAGUCAGACCCAGAUCUGCCUUAGGGAUCAUCAGGGAGAGUGGGUGCCCACCCGUGGGGCAGCAGCACCCAACUCUUGGUGGUGCUGAGGCCCCACCGCAAACUCUUUUCAGGGCUGUGGGGCUGGAAGCAGAGGGAGAUCUAGGUGCUGCCCUGUGGGCACUGCGUGACCCCAACUUUGGGGCAGGUGGGAGGAAGCUGGGGGAGCACUGGCACUGUCUCCUCUCCCCCUCCACCCCCCAGCAUCCCUCAGCCACAAGAUUCAUGGCCUGCUUGGCGGCUUCAUUAUCUCUCUCUCCAGAACUAAUUAACUCCCUUGCUAUUGGGGCCCGGGCUAAUUAAGUGAGCGCCUGGUGGUGCAAGGAGGAGGGAGGGAGCCGGAUGCUCCCCUUUUCUACUCCUCUCCCUUCCCCAGGGUGGGGGGCAGCUCAGGGUGACCCUGGGGGGUGCAGGGUGUCUUGUGGUUCAGAGGGUGAGUACUCAUAUCCCAUGGACAUCCACGGGUGUACAGACAGAAGGGUCACCCUCAGGGUGGCAACGGGUUGGGAAGGGACAGUGAGCCCCAGGAGGUAGCUGCACAUCCUCUGCAUUUGCCCCCUCCCAAAGAGAGGGCCCUGCUGAUAACAGAGCACCAUUAAUCAAUUGAGGAACUAAUUGCAGCAGCACAAUGGCCCUACCACCUCCUUAGGCUUUUGUGCCAUGCACCCCAGCCAGAAUCAGGGCCAUCACUCUGCAGGGACACAGACAGGUCCCUUUGUCAGUGGGAUGGGCACUGGCCGUCAGCGCUGCACAGCCCAAAGAUUAAUGGCAUCUGCUUUCAUUAGCCAGGGAGGGGGGGGGAAAGAAGAUGUCUAGAGGGCAUUGAUUGGAUCCACUGCAUUCAUAGCUUCUGGGGUGAUGGGGAGCCCCCAGAUCAGGUAAUAGGGCUGUGCUGGGCAGAACUGAUGAAGGACCACGGGUGGAUAUUGGAUCAAUCUUUACCCUUUUCCUAGGAGUAAAAACUACCCCUUCCCAACCUGGCAAACAACACAAAGGGGGGAAA